AGAGUUUGAUCCUGGCUCAGGACGAACGCUGGCGGCGUGCUUAACACAUGCAAGUCGAACGGUAAGGCCCUUCGGGGUACACGAGUGGCGAACGGGUGAGUAACACGUGGGUAAUCUGCCCUGCACAUCGGGAUAAGCCUGGGAAACUGGGUCUAAUACCGAAUAGGACCACAGGACACAUGUCCUGUGGUGGAAAGCUUUUGCGGUGUGGGAUGGGCCCGCGGCCUAUCAGCUUGUUGGUGGGGUGAUGGCCUACCAAGGCGACGACGGGUAGCCGGCCUGAGAGGGUGUCCGGCCACACUGGGACUGAGAUACGGCCCAGACUCCUACGAGAGGCAGCAGUGGGGAAUAUUGCACAAUGGGCGAAAGCCUGAUGCAGCGACGCCGCGUGGGGGAUGACGGCCUUCGGGUUGUAAACCUCUUUCACCAUCGACGAAGGUCCGGGUUUUCUCGGGCUGACGGUAGGUGGAGAAGAAGCACCGGCCAACUACGUGCCAGCAGCCGCGGUAAUACGUAGGGUGCGAGCGUUGUCCGGAAUUACUGGGCGUAAAGAGCUCGUAGGUGGUUUGUCGCGUUGUUCGUGAAAUCUCACGGCUUAACUGUGAGCGUGCGGGCGAUACGGGCAGACUUGAGUACUGCAGGGGAGACUGGAAUUCCUGGUAUAGCGGUGGAAUGCGCAGAUAUCAGGAGGAACACCGGUGGCGAAGGCGGGUCUCUGGGCAGUAACUGACGCUGAGGAGCGAAAGCGUGGGGAGCGAACAGGAUUAGAUACCCUGGUAGUCC
rnacentral:rRNA from 1 species